rnacentral:antisense_RNA from 1 species
CUUCACCGACCCCAACCACAACGGCUCACCACCCGCACGGUCCUGCCCAUAGGUGGCCAACAACGCCUGCGCCUC